UUUCAUAAUUUGGACACAGUCACUGAAUGAAAAUGUAUCUGCAAUGAGUAUUUUUAAUGUUUGUUUACAAUUACUCAUUACUGUCUAUCUAGUUUGCACUAAUAUUGAGGUGUACAAUUUUCUGGGAGAGGUCUCACUGGUCUGUUUGCAACAUUGAUGAAUGUCCGAAGUUUUUUCAUGAACAGUUACAAGGUCAACAAAUUGGUGACAGAAACGAUAAAGUCACGAGCUGCAGAAGAAGGCAUUCGUGCUGUCAGACGGAAGCAAAAACGGUGAAGAAGUGGAGGUUGUUGGAACUUUUAAAGGAAGAAUAUGAGAGCAUAUCUUAACACAUAUGUCACGGAGAAAUUUUAAAUGAAUUAGACGCAAAGGAAUCGAAGUUUGUUGUCAAUUAUUACUACUUAGAAGAAGACAAUGGAACAGAAUAUGUCUAUUUAGUAGAAUGUGACAGACCUAUGUGAAGAAUCGCUGGAGGAUUUUGUGCAAUCAGAAUCCAAUAGUUUGGCUUAUCUUCAAAAAUCUCUUCCCGAAAUUCUCAGACACAUUUUAAAAGAUUAUCUGAUCCUCAUAGUGGCGAAAAUCCUAUUCUCUAUCGGGAUUUAAAGCCUUCUAAUGUACUCCGAGAUGCACAAGGAAAAUUUCUGAUAGCUGACUUUGGUAUUAGUCGAAUAUUGAAAGAUGGAAGUAAGACAAGAGUAAGUAAUGCUAAAAAGGGAACUCCGUAUUGGAUUGCUCCUGAAUCAUUUUGUACAGAUAAAAAUCCGAUUGGCAAAGGACGUUACAAAACAGAGUUGGAUGUAAUGACUGCAGGAAUGGUAGCUUUUUAUGUUGCCACAAAAGGAGACCAACCUUUUAAAACUGAAGAGAAUAUAUUGAAAGGAAACACUGUUGGCUUGGAGAAAAUAGAUAAUGUCGAUCUAAAAGAUCUACUUUCGUGGAUGCUACAGCUAAAACCGGAAGACAGACCAUCGGCCAACGAAGCGUUAAAACACCCUUAUCUACAAACCGAUGAGGUGAAUUUUGAUUUGCUAUGUGAUGUUAGGAAUGAACCAGAAAUAAAGACAUCAUCUCGACAUUCUCUUACCUCAGAUGUUUGUGAGCAGUUGAAUCUUUCAAUAGAUUGAUGGACCGUAUCGAUCAUGAAGUCUUUAAACAUUUCAAUAAAGUAUCCGACUCUACAUGGUUAGGUUGCCUAAGAUUUUUACGAAACGUUCGCCAGCAUUGGCAUGAUAAACCUCGUCCACAAUUGUCAUGGAAACUAUCAAGAGUAUUUUCUUUAACUCUUUAAGGAACUGCCUGUUCUAGUUCACAGAACCAUAAGAUUGAGUGACUGGAAGGCAAGACCUGUUCUAAAGAAACAUUUUGCAAGUAAAACAGAGAAAUGAGUUUUUAUUUUUGAUGGCCAAGUUAUAAAUUAGGGGUCCAUGACACUAUAUUUGUUAUUUUCACUCUAGUUCUCCUCUUCAUUUACUGUACUUAAUGCAUGUAUGUUUUGAGUUCUGUAUAUUGCCGUUGCACACAUUUUUUGGACAGUACACAUCCUGUAAAACUUGAAAAAGGCAAGGGAAAGAAAAGCGAAGGUGUUAUUGAUUACGCUGAUCUUAACGGUAAAUAGCUAUGUAACAACAAACUAAUGCUGUGUACGUGUCACUUUUCUUAAAUAUUCUACCAAAAAGCGUAAUCUCUCCACUUGUAUCUGGUGCAUCAUUUUCUAACUUUGUGCAACUGAUAAUAACGGUUCAAGCAUGUGUGAUAGUACUAGCAAUAGUCAAAAAUCUUUAGACGAGAUCAACAAUUUGUCAGAUAUCCAAAGAUAGUGAAGAGUACCUACGAAUCAUGGUGAUUCAGAGACUUUGGCAUAUUUUUAUCGUAUGGUAAAAAGAAACUUAUAGCUUAUUAUGUUGUCAAACUUGUAAAGAACACAUAUGCAAUAAUAAAUAUUGCGUAUCUUUUGCUUUAAGUCAGCAAAUGCUUUCAAAUCGUAUACAUUAAUGCUGAAAUUUUGAUUUUAGGCUUGAGUAAAACUGUAAAUAAUGUGCAUUAAAUGUAGAAAGUAUUAAAGGAAAACAUACUAUAGUAAAAAGUAAAAGUACUGCGUACCAUUCGAAGGCAUAACCAAAUACCUAUAGUUAACAUAAUUUUUUGAAAAUCCUCUUUCGAUAUGGUAAAAA